rnacentral:snRNA from 1 species
UUGUGCUCGACAUAAAUUAAAAUUGGAACAACACAGAAAAGAUUAGCCUGGUCCCCCUACAAGGAUGACAUGCAAAUUCCCAAAGCGUUCCAUAUUUUU